rnacentral:rRNA from 1 species
GUAGGCUGCAACCCGCCUACAUGAAGUUGGAAUUGCUAGUAAUCGCAGAUCAGAAUGCUGCGGUGAAUGCGUUCCCGGGUCUUGUACACACCGCCCGUCACACCACGGAAGUUGGGGGCGCCCGAAGCCACUUAGCUAACCCUUUUGGGAAGCGAGUGUCGAAGGUGAAAUCAAUAACUGGGGUGAAGUCGUAACAAGGUAAC